AAUGAACGCUGGCGGCGUGCCUAACACAUGCAAGUCGAACGAGAAAGCCUGGCUUGCCAGGCGAGUAAAGUGGCGCACGGGUGAGUAACGCGUGGGUAAUCUACCUUCGCAUGGGGGAUAACACAGCGAAAGUUGUGCUAAUACCGCAUAAUAUAGUUUUGACUCCGGUUAAGGCUAUCAAAGUUGGCCUCUACAUGUAAGCUGACGUGUGAAGAUGAGCCCGCGUACCAUUAGCUAGUUGGUAGGGUAAGAGCCUACCAAGGCUACGAUGGUUAGCUGGUCUGAGAGGAUGGCCAGCCACACUGGAACUGGAACACGGUCCAGACUCCUACGGGAGGCAGCAGUGAGGAAUCUUGCGCAAUGGGGGAAACCCUGACGUAGCAACGCCGUGUGGGUGAAGAAGGCCUUCGGGUCGUAAAGCCCUGCCAAGUGGGAAGAAUAGCUUUAAGGGAAAUACUCUUAGGGUAUGACGGUACCACUGAAGGAAGCACCGGCUAACUCCAUGCCAGCCGCCGCUGUAA
rnacentral:rRNA from 1 species